GGGGAACAGGAUGUUUCAAAAGGAAGGAGGGAAGUUCCCUUUGUCUCACUUUUAGUUUCAGCCAGAGUGGAAAAGAUCAAGGAAUCAGCCUCUUAUCAGGAUAAACAAGAUAGCAGCUGGAGAUAAGUGCUAGUAUGCUGUACUGCUGAAUACUCACUGAAUCUGAGCCUUGUCAUGUGCAAUGCUCAUGUGCGUCUAGUGAAAUUCCAAACUGCACAUCAAAAAGAAAUCUUUCAGAAAACAAAUCAGUUUACCACUCGACAUGAUCAUCUUAUUAGCAAGAAGGCAACCCCAGAAUUGAACAUACCUAACGAAAGCAGCAAAGACAGAAGAGCAGGGCCUUUGACUCAGUUCAAAAAACUUAUAUUUCUGAUAAUAUAAGAUAUUGUAAAUACACAAUUCACCCU